GCUUGCUCCUUUGACGUUAGCGGCGGACGGGUGAGUAACACGUGGAUAACCUACCUAUAAGACUGGGAUAACUUCGGGAAACCGGAGCUAAUACCGGAUAACAUAUUGAACCGCAUGGUUCAAUAGUGAAAGGCGGCUUUGCUGUCACUUAUAGAUGGAUCCGCGCCGUAUUAGCUAGUUGGUAAGGUAACGGCUUACCAAGGCAACGAUACGUAGCCGACCUGAGAGGGUGAUCGGCCACACUGGAACUGAGACACGGUCCAGACUCCUACGGGAGGCAGCAGUAGGGAAUCUUCCGCAAUGGGCGAAAGCCUGACGGAGCAACGCCGCGUGAGUGAUGAAGGUCUUCGGAUCGUAAAACUCUGUUAUCAGGGAAGAACAAAUGUGUAAGUAACUGUGCACAUCUUGACGGUACCUGAUCAGAAAGCCACGGCUAACUACGUGCCAGCAGCCGCGGUAAUACGUAGGUGGCAAGCGUUAUCCGGAAUUAUUGGGCGUAAAGCGCGCGUAGGCGGUUUUUUAAGUCUGAUGUGAAAGCCCACGGCUCAACCGUGGAGGGUCAUUGGAAACUGGAAAACUUGAGUGCAGAAGAGGAAAGUGGAAUUCCAUGUGGUAAGCGGU
rnacentral:rRNA from 1 species